UUACGGCCAUAUCUCGUUGAAACAACGCUUCCCAUCCGAUCACCGAAGUUAAGCGACCUUGAAUCUGGCCAAUAUCUAGAUGGGUGAAUGCUUAGAAAUAUCAAGUGCUGCAAG